CUAUUGUACCAUUUCAACUCCUGUUGCAGUUUCCUAACCAGAAAAUAUUGUCAUUUUCAGAUUUCAUCUGCAUUUGAGAGAGCAUACGCGACCAUGGCACGGAGUCGCGAAACACGGCAUUACUCGCAGACAUAAUGGUAUCGUGUCACGCUCGUGGCUACUUACACUGCGACCAGAUAUACAUAACGGAAAGAUCAAAUGGUUUUUGUAUGGAAUGAAUAACGGGUUAGGCAGACACAUGCUAAUGACUUGCAAGGGUGAACUCGGACACAGGGACAAACCUUUUAACGAGCUUCGGUCACUUAUAGUAAAGGAGUCUGAACUUGGAUACAGAAUGGGGCUACCAGAGCAUUUUAUUUAAAUCCACAAUGCUUGUUCUCAUCAGACAACCAUGCCUGAUCAAAUUGGUGCAUAUACAGUCAAGUGUAUUUGACGGAACACGAUGACUGUGGUGUUGUCAAGAUGAAGGCUGUGGACUGUGAUGAGAGACGACAUAGUGUCUCCAUGAAUUAAAUGAGAAAGCAUGGUAAAUCCAUCUUGCAGCGAUGCAUCAGAUGUCAUCUGACGUUGAAGAUGAAAAACCUGGCUUAGCUCUAUCGCAUCUUUAGAUUGUUUUAUAUUCACGAUGACUUUUUUCAUCAAAUGUUCUUUUUGCACGCCACCUGAAAACUAUUGUUUUGUUUGUUUAAACGACGCUUUGUUAAACCUUUCAGUUAAAAUCAUGACGAGAGGCAAGCCUUUGAUGUUGUUGACCAGAUCGGUGAAAGGCGCGGUCAUGGUGCUGAGAAACCAAGCAAUAUAACAAGAGAUCUAGCUUUCGAACCCAGUGUCUGCAGCGCGAUAUAGCAGUUUCUGGGCGCCUAAAACCAUUGGGCCACUCGCAGGCAUCCGACCCCCAUCCGCUAAAAACAUUGUUUUCAUUUUUACGCUCGAUCCUCGUGAUCAAUUAUCUGACAUCUACAACCCUGCCCCCCCCUCAACCAACACACAACAAUAUAAGUAACAGCCGUCCAACCACGGAUUACAUGAAACUGAAAUACAUUCCUGUUUCCGAAUGUCUCGCUGACAGUGUACAAUUAUGCCAUUAUUAUGAUUGUACCCAUGUUCAGGUUCCUCAGAUUACCUAACCACAAUCUAACCCUCUGCAACAGCCCUCAUGACAAGCAUGAGCGUCUUCAUCCUUCCCAUCAACUCUACUCGCUUCUCCACGUAGCCUCAGGUAACGUGCCCUUCCUAUGAAACGUAUCUGUUAGUUCUAUUAUACCCGGCGGCCACGGUCUCGCAGAAAACACGUCCCCCUCUCAAUCCCACCUCACCCCACCCUAAUCUCCACCCAGCCCACCCCACCCAUUAACCAUUACCUACAGAGAUAGACUCCGAACCCCUUUCCGCCCUAAUCCACAAUCUUUCUCUCUUCUUUCUGCCAUUCAGACAACCGCUCCAUUAAAAAACCUCAGAAAAAUGGAAUAUUCCGGUUCUUUCAAAAGGUCAAAAGUAAAAGAAAAUUAAAGGCCUCUUUAUUGUUUAUUGCUAUCAAAGAGUGUCAUUAUUCCAACUGAAAAUUGCAAAUUCCAUGUUCAAAACGUCCAGAAUGCACUGCGACUUUAUGUAAAAGUGGUACCUUAAUGCAGAUGCUGUAGGAGAUGUUUGAAGUGGGAUUAUAUUACAGUAUUGCAUGAUUUGAUCGCUGACAUGUCGGAAACCGGGUUUCAUUCCAUGAUCCAACCCUCUAAGACUCUACUUUUUUCCCAUUUCAAUUCCUUUUGAUUUUUAGAAGUCCUCAAACUUACGAUAAUUAAUACAAAAUCAGAAUAUCGUUCUCAGAAAUGUGAAAUACGCAAUAUUGAAAUAAAUCAUUUGAUGAAAGUAUUUUUUAACUCCAUCUUUUGAAUGAAGCAAUUUCAUGACAUAACCACGGGUAUAUUCAUCAACGGGUCACGCCCACCUUUAAAGUACAUUUGACCCUUUCGUUUCGUUUGAAGUACAAAAUAAGGCUCAAUUCAGGUUUGUGUGGAAUAACAUCAGUAACACAUGGUACAAUAGGGCUUGUCUUUCUGAUUUCAGACAGGAAUUUAUUGAAAAUGUUACGUAAGAAUCUCUUGACCGGAUAACAUGUUAUCAAUUUGUUUAACAACAAAUCAUUCCACACAAACCGGAAGAGCGUUUUAAAAUUCAAUGACCCUUAACAAAUUGUUCCAAUAAAAUCCUAAAUUUCAAAUCAAUCAAUGCCCUUCUUCUAUUCAGUAUUUUCUUUAAAAAGCCCACUUCUUGUUGUAUUGACCACUCCAGUGACCAUCAUUGGGUUGGAGCACAGUUCACGUCGGUCGCGACACGCAGACCAAAGGCUCUCGUUGUUGGUUCACACCCGACACUAGAAAAACCGAUUGCAAUGUUCUUUUCACUGCUUAACGUUUGCCCAGCACACCCGGAACAAAAGCCCUUUAAUUCGGGUAGAUAGGUCGGGAAAUAUCGUGACCCCUCUGUGACUUAUUGGUCAAAGGACAAGGGCCAGUGUGACCCGACGCACGUUUUUUGCACGCUUUGUGUGGUCAAGUCGCCCUGGACACUGGUCAAAAAGCGAUAAAGCCCUCACGGUCACUCGGUGGUCAAGCAAAACAUUGAUAAAGAGAUAAGUGUACGUGCAGUCCAUUUCAAUGGAAACUUGUAUCAGAUUAAGAUGGACCUUCCAUGCCAAAUGGCAAUAAAAGGACUUUAAAAUUAGACUGACAUUUUUAUGAGUCUACCAACGCAUUCGCCAUAGUAUUCUUGAUCAGUAAAACACAUAGCACAACAUAUCCUUCAUAAUGCGUGACAGUAGGAUUAACGAUAAUCCCAACAAAGCAUCAUUCUGGAUUAUUAACUUUCUCAGACAUUCCAUAGAAAUGAAGGCCAUUAGGUAUUCAUGAUUUACUGAGAUAAUACACCCGAUCUCAGCCCUGAUAUUGGCAUUUUGCAUGAAGACCUUCAUAUACCUUAUGUUAAUUACACCAUAAUGACAACACGUUUCAUGAAUACCAAUAUAUCCUUGUUAUGUCCUUUUAAUAUUACAUGUUUCACCUUUAUCAAACAACCGUUGCCAAUACAUAUAAUGCUGCUUGAACAUCUGAUGUAAUUAUUCAACAUCGUAAAACUUUAUCUGAUUAAUUUUCGUAUGAAAUGUAUCUGAAAAACAUCACCGGAAACAAGUUAAGUUUAUCAUGAAAAUUGAUGUCCAACUAAUUAUCGAAGUGAAUGUAUCCGCAUAAUAGUCUGAAAAUAAAUAAGGUAAAUUGGU